AACUAACGCUGGCGGCGUGCCUAACACAUGCAAGUCGUACGAGAAAGUUGGCUUCGGCCGAUGAGUAAAGUGGCGCACGGGUGAGUAAUGCGUGGAUAAUCUGCCCUUUAGUUGGGAAUAACGUACCGAAAGGUGCGCUAAUACCUGAUAAUACUGCAUAACUACUGUUGUGUAGUCAAAGAAGGCCUCUGUUUACAAGCUUUUGCUGAAGGAUGAGUCCGCGUACCAUUAGCUGGUUGGUGGGGUAAUGGCCUACCAAGGCUACGAUGGUUAGCUGGUCUGAGAGGAUGAUCAGCCACACUGGAACUGAGACACGGUCCAGACUCCUACGGGAGGCAGCAGUGGGGAAUAUUGCACAAUGGGCGAAAGCCUGAUGCAGCAACGCCGCGUGAGCGAUGAAGGCCUUCGGUCGUAAGCUCUGUCUCAGGAAGAUAAUGACGGUACUUGAGGAGGAAGACCCGGCUAACUACGUGCCAGCA
rnacentral:rRNA from 1 species